UGGUUUGGUGUAACGUCCUGUUUCAAUGGCGAGUGGUAAGGAGCCACAACGAAAGUUUGAUAAAGUUCUACGGUAGUCUCUAAACUUGACAGAUUUCACAUAACUGCUUGGCUGAAGAUAACUUUUUUACUGUCUAAACGUCCUAAGUUUAUUUCCAUUUUCACAGUUUCUAUCGUUAUGCACAUCGCGUAGCCAAUUUUCAGCAUCCAUAGUG
rnacentral:lncRNA from 1 species